CUCUUUUAUAUAAUCAGGAUCAAACAUAAAAAUUAUAGAUGAUCAUGGCAAUAAAAAAUUACGGAAGAUGGCCAUAAUACUACUAGUCCAGAACCCCUCACAUGAUCAAUUGAUCAAUUUGAGUUUACCUAGAUAUUUGAAUCCUCUACUGGUCCAUAGAAUUUCUAAAGAGAAAUUUAUGAAGAGAGAGAAAAUUAUAAAGAGAAAAACUAAAAAAAGUAAGGUGAAGAGUGGAA
rnacentral:lncRNA from 1 species